AUGAAGGUAACGAAUCUUGUUCGCUAA
rnacentral:sRNA from 1 species